rnacentral:rRNA from 1 species
UACGUAGGGUGCAAGCGUUGUCCGGAAUCAUUGGGCGUAAAGCGCGCGCAGGCGGCCCGAUAAGUCUGCUGUGAAAGUCCGGGCUCAACCCUGAAAGGCCGGUGGAAACUGUCGAGCUAGAGGCCGGAAGAGGCGAGUGGAAUUCCUGGUGUAGCGGUGAAAUGCGCAGAUAUCAGGAGGAACACCAAUGGCGAAGGCAGCUCGCUGGGACGGUGCUGACGCUGAGACGCGAAGGCGUGGGGAGCAAACAGG